AAUAAUAAUAAUAAUAUCUUAGUACUUUCUGUACUAAGAAAUGCAAACUGACACACUCCCCCCCCCAUUUAUUAGGUGCAGGAAGUAUUGAUAUGCAAAAUACCUAUAGAAAAAACUUUGCAUGUGCGCCUUUCUUCCACAAAAAUAAAUCCUAGCCUUGUGUUGCUAGACCUGCAAUUCACCAGCAGAAAACAGAGUUACCACCUGCUUCUAUGACUAGCAGAAAGACAUCCUGACAACUCAACCUUCUUAAACUAAAUGUAGCCCUUCGCAUUAUAAAACAAAAUGCUACCUAUGAAACCUGACACAGUCAAGGAAAAAAAACAGGCUUUUAUGCUUGUAGUCUAUAACUUGUGGCCUUGCAUAGAGAAAACUUGGUGGGUUACAGUAGGGUAAGCCGGAAAGGACUGUGCGGCUGUUAUGCAGAAGUACUAGAGUCAAAAUUCUUAAGUGACCACUAGAAUCCAGGGCAUUAUCAUGUUAUUCUUUGUCUAUAGCACCACAGAGCUGAUCAUAGAGUUCUUGUACUCCCCCCCGCAUUCCUCUCAUGACAAUUAUCCAUUUGCUGGUUUAAAGGGAAAGACAAAGUCAGUUGGCUUCCUUGUCCCAGAGAUUAGUCAAUAUUGCUGGCCGCUAGCCUCCAUUGCCUCUCUCAUAUUUUCCCAAUAUUGAGUAGCUGCUACAACUCCACAUUUAUUCUGAGCCCUGCAGUGGCAUGCCAUGAUCUCAGGUGGGUUUGGGUGUCUCCUGGUAGAGAAUCAGGAGAUGGCUGGAAGCAGAUUGCUGUUAGAGAGAACCUAUAAGCUGAAAUUGGAAAUAGAACCAUUGGUCAAGACUCAUGUGUGUGCAUCUCCAUUCCAUUAAUAAAAAUGACUGUAAUUUUGUGAUCAGAAUUAUCCUUAUUUUACCACUGAUUUAUCUGAGUCAAGAUUAGUUAGGUCUGCAUAAUACAAAUUCAAUACAGAGCUGUAUGUGCUUGAUUACAUGCUAAUGAUGUGUAAAGAAGUUCCUCUCUCGAUUAUAUUUUCUAAUUAUUUCCUUCUAUCAGUUUAUCUUCUACCAGAACUUCUAUCAAAGUCUCUCUCUCUCUCCUUCUAACUCAUUCUUCUUCCACUUUGAAUAUAACAUUCCUCUCAGUUGUAUGACUAUAGAAAUUACUAAUUUACUGUUGAUUUAAUAAAUCUACAAUGCCUUUAUGCUAUUCCAUUCAACAUUUCAAAUAUGUAAUCUCAGUGGUCUUUACACCAGUACUGAGCCUAAUAUAAUUUUCUGACAUUAUCUGAGUAUAUUCUGAAAUUUUUUUACUGGAGACUUCCCAGUUUAUAUCUGCUUCUACAUUCUCUCAGUUCUAAUGACAUUAUAUUGCCCUCUUCCUCUACAGUGGUUCACUGUUGUUUUCCACAUCUACUUUAAGCUCACAUCCCUUACAUUUCAAGGCUUGCCAUAUCUUCAUGCCUUCAUUGUCUCUACCUAUGGAUGUGAAUGUUUCUCAAGGAGGUGUGCCUUAUUGGCCCUUGUUAAAACCACCUGAAUGCAUGAAGGCUAUUUUCAGAUUAAAUUGUUUCAUUAUAUAUCCAUUCCCUGAACCACCAUCUUUAAAAUGUUGCUAAUAAAUCCUCCUGACAUAAAAACCAGUUGCAUUUGAAGCUGAUUUGGGGUUAAAGGUUGUCACGUUACAGUAGUUCAAGGCUCUUGGUAAUGCAGCUCUUGACUACUAUAUUUUCUGCAAGCUUAGUCGGACACCCUUCUCCCAAGCACUUUUCGAACUUAGCUGAAAGGUCCCUAUGAACAUCUUCCAUUAGCCAUGAUUUACAGGUGCCCUUGUACCCUACAGCAGCAAGUUCAGUAAGUUUAUUCCAGAAUUUGAUAGCUUGGAUAAAGAUAACAAAAGAAAACAGCUGCUGUCUGCUUGUAAGAAAUAUAUUCCUUCUCGGCUAAGACCCAAGUUUCAGCUAGAAAAAAAAUUUUUAUUUUUUUUUUGGCAAUGUUUUAUUCCCAUUCAAUAAAAAAAGGUAAUGACAGACACAUAGUGAACCAAGUUGUGAAUGUGUUGUGGUGAUAUGUGGUGUGUAUUAGAUCAAAAUUAUAAAUUGUAAAGAAUUAUAAAGCUGGAAAGGACCACCAAGCCAUGGAAUCCAGUCCCGUGGCCUCCACACCAGUUCCCUGCAGUUUAGACCACAUCAUUCAGUUCACUGGGAGAAGGAAAGAACAAUGAAAGUGCACCCAUGUCAGUGUACCUGGAUGAACAGUUACCACCAUCUGAAAAUGGGGCAAACCACUCAUUAUAGAGCAAAGUCAAUAUAAAACCAAAAUGGCUGAUGGGGGAGGUUGUUAGGUAUAAUACAUGGGAUUUCUUGUCCAUAAUGUAUACAGUUUGGCCAGAAGUGCAGUACAGCAGUGGAUAGUAUCAGCAUCAACUGUGAGAGUUACUGUAGGCCAGGAUUCUUUGGUAGUAAGAAACCAUUUUGCUUAUUUGAUUGGAUCAGGCAAACAGUUGGGAAAGCCAUCUCAAGUAGAGCAUGCAUGACAUUCGAGACAAGGAAUGCAUUUUUUCUUCUUUUCAGAAAGCUACUGUCUGAAUCAACAAGAAGUGAACAUGAGAUGCAGAUGGGUCCCUAAAGUCAUUAAUUGAGCAAUACUGGGGAACCUGUAGCUUUCCAGAUGUCUUGGACUCCAUGUCCCCACAGCCAGCCUGCACAAUGGUUAGGGAGUCCGGCAACAUCUGCUCUGCUCUGCUCAAGAGCUCAGGCCAGGUAUCCACCUGCCAAGUAGCAACACAUACUGGAUGAGUGUCACCUUUGAGCUGCAUAUCGAGAGAUGAUCUUAGUAUCUUCUUGAUUAUUGAAGUGUCUAGCACAGAAGGACCCCCUUUUGACACAAGAUCUACCCACCCUGGAAGAAUGGCAGAUGAAGGUGAUGGACUAUAUGGAACUGGCGGAAAUGACUGG